GCCGACGUAACUCAGUUGGUAGAGUAGCUGAUUUGUAAUCAGCCUGUCCCCAGUUCGAGUCUGGGCGUCGGCU
rnacentral:tRNA from 1 species